rnacentral:rRNA from 4 species
UACCUGGUUGAUUCUGCCAGUAGUCAUAUGCUUGUCUC